AAUCUAGUUUCAUGAAGGCUUUUCUUUUUUUAAAAAAAUAAACAAGUUAUUGCAAAUUUUCUUUUUUCCCACCAUACAUACUUUAUGGUCAGAGUGUUGACCGGGUCACAUCAUAUUCAUAAUCAUAAUUCUAAUCUUCUCACUUUAUCAAUAUUCAUCUCUUUUAUAUAAUCCUUUACCUUCUUCCAUAAUUACAUUUAAGAUUAAAUAUCAUUGCUAUACAUCUUUUAUUUAUGUCUUCAACUAAGUGUUAUUAAUUCAUUUUUACAAAUUAAUCAUUUUUCACCAUAACUUUGUUAUUCUAACUUCAGCCGUAAUAUUCUCUUUAUAUAAUUCUUUAUCAUUUCUUGUUCUAUUUUUACACUUAAAUAACAUCGCUAUACACCCUCUGUUUCUCCUCUCUUACAAUUACACCAGUUGUUUAUCAUAUUGCUUCAUUUCCGGAAGGAUCCCUCAAAUUCCCCGUUCCCAAUCAUUAACAUUUUAAAUUCCCAACCUAAUUUAAAUUAUCAAAAUUAAUUCUAUCACUGUUACCUACUUUCACAUUCCCAUCUACUGAUCUACCUUAUAUAUGUUGUAGUCAUCUUUACAAAAUUAUCAUUUUUCAACAUAGCUUUGUAUUCCAAUUUCAAUAGCAUUAUUCUCACAUAAUUAUUUAUCAUUUCUUAUUUAAUUUUUACACACAAGUAAUAUCACAAUGUGCCCUAUAAUUCUUCUCUUUUACAAUUAUAAUAGCAUUUUAAAUUUCCAAUCUAAUUUGAAUUAAUUAAUAUUAAAUUAUCUACUUUCACAUUCCCAUCUUCUAGUCUACCUUAUUAUAUAUAUUUACGAAUAUUUACCCUAUUAUUAUUAUCUCUCACUUCUAUUAACAUUUUUCUUCUUAUCCAUCAUCUCUUGAUCUUUUUAGUAUCCCAUUCUUUAAUGAAUUUUUUUGAUCUGCCUUUCAUCCCGCUCUCCUAAUGUCUUAUUUCUCUCUCUUUUUGUUUUUAUCUGUAUUGUACUUUCUCUUCUAUAUCCCUUUUAUUUCUUUUUGUUGUAUUGUUUGAGCACCCCUCACAUAGGUCUUCCUCUUGUCUCUUCAAAAUGUUUCCCUUUUUGCCUUUUAACUUUGUCAUUUUUUGGAGGGGCUUUUCCCCCUUCUUCUCUACUCUUACUACAUUACCAUAAAUUUCUGUGAUAUUGUCUAACUGAUUCUUAUUUUUAAUUCUUUCUCUUCUAUAGUCUUAAUUUCUUGUAUCUCAUUUGAAUUCCCCUUUUCAAAUUUAUCUUCUAUUUUUUCCUGUAUGUUUAAACAAACUUCCUGUCUCUUUAUUGCCUAUUAGAGAUUCACACACAUUUUUAGCAACAAGAAUAAAUCUUUAUACAUCCGAGGCUCCAUUUUAUAGCAAUUUAAAGUUUUUAAAACCUCCCCAAUUAUCUCUUUUCACAAUUUACCGAAAUUUAAAGUCUAUUUAAUUUCCUUGCUUUUCUUUUCUUCAGUUAUUCCUCUUCUCUUCAAAAAUAAAAUGUUCCACUGAGUUAGUAGUAAGCCAAUUUCAAAAAUAGUCAAAUCCAAAUUGAAUUAAAUCCAAAUUAAAAGUUAGCUGUGUUCCAAAAAGAGAGAAGGGGGAAAAAAACCAAAUAGAAAACACAAGCACUCCUUAAAUGUUCUCUGUGUCAAAAUUAUCUUCUUCUUCUGUGUGGCCAAGCCAGGUCUUCCAGCCGCUACUUCUCCUGGUUUUUAUAGUCAGAUCUUAGUAUGCAUUAAACUCAUCAAGGCUACUAGGCUUAAAAUAUUGUACUACUUUUUUUCCUCCAGUAGAUGGCACUCUCAGUUUCUGUUUCAUACAAAAUAGUCUAUAAAAACCAGCUGUCUGUCAAAGUAUCCAGGGAGUUUAAAAUAGACAUAAAAAUGCUACUUUCUCCCGAAAAUCAUUUUUUUUAGAAUGUUUAAGCUUUCCCCAAUUUUCCAAAUAUAAAGAUUAUUCUUGGGCUUUUGUAUUAUAGCCUCAAUUUGUUUUAUUUUUUAUUUUUUCCAAGGGCCAAAUAGCUGCUGAUCCAAGCUCAGGAAUGUUGAAACUCCACUUGCAAGAUUUUUCCCUUUAAAUAUGUGACAAGAUAUACCAAGCAAACUUUUUAUCCUACAAGUAGCAACAAUCGGAACCCUAAGAAGGAAGGACAACACGCACACAUAUUUUCAAGAAGAAUGAGACAGAGGGGCCUGAACAAAAUGUGGAGCAUAACAUCUAUUGCUGUAAGACCCAUAAUAAUUGAAUGCUUUAAACAUUAUUUUGGGGUGAUAUAAUUGCUUGUUAAGUAGAGAUUUAUUAGAUUAGAAAUGGCCAUUGCAGCAUUUGAGAAAGCAAAAUAGUCUCAUUCAGCUUUUAUCAGAUAAAUACUGCAAAAGGAACAUCAUUGCAAUACAGUGUAUGCCCAACUUUCCAAACUGGGACCUUUUUCUUAUUCAAUAUACUUUGCACUUUGUUUACUUUAUAACAGGUUUAAUCCUCAUGGAGCCCAAAAUAGGAUGGCAUAGUAGCCUGGAACAACUGCUAAUGCAGGCAGGGAACAGUCAUAGAGAGAAGAAGGGAAUCCAAUGCCAGA